rnacentral:rRNA from 1 species
CCCAGACUCCUACGGGAGGCAGCAGUGGGGAAUAUUGCACAAUGGGGGGAACCCUGAUGCAGCGACGCCGCGUGGGUGAAGGAGCACCUCGGUGCGUAAAGCCCUAUCGGCAGGGAAGAAAAGCGAACAGGUUCGCCUGGACGGUACCUGACUAAGAAGCCCCGGCUAACUACGUGCCAGCAGCCGCGGUAAUACGUAGGGGGCAAGCGUUAUCCGGGUUCACUGGGUGUAAAGGGAGCGUAGACGGCGACGCAAGUCUGGAGUGAAAGCCCGGGGCCCAACCCCGGGACUGCUCUGGAAACUGCGUCGCUGGAGUACGGGAGGGGCAGGCGGAAUUCCUGGUGUAGCGGUGAAAUGCGUAGAUAUCAGGAGGAACACCGGCGGCGAAGGCGGCCUGCUGGACGAUGACUGACGUUGAGGCUCGAAAGCGUGGGGAGCAAACAGGAUUAGAUACCCCAGUAAAA